GGCCCAAUGGUCUAGUCGUAUGAUACGCGCUUCGGGAGUUUCCCAGUCCGGUCUGGACUUAAUGUGUGCGUGGUCCCGAGUUCAAUUCUCGGUUGGGCCC